GAGGGAGUGCAGGUCUGAAGACGUCCUCGUGGGUCUGCUCCUGGGCCUGGCCAAACUGGCCAUAAACAGGUCCAGGGAGCGGGCCGUGGAGAGGGUUGUUAGGGCCCACUGCCUGCUCCUCUUCCCCAGUUGUUAAG